ensembl:lncRNA LINC03060 long intergenic non-protein coding RNA 3060
GGGAUCUAGGCUGCGCGCUCCUUAUGAGAAUCUAACGCCUGAUGACCUAUCACUGUCUCCCAUCACUCCCAGAUGGGACCGUCUAGUUGCAGGAAAACAAGCUCAGGGCUCCCACUGAUUCUACAUUAUGAUCAACUGCAUGGGGUCCUACAGGAGAAGACCAAGAGACAGAGACAGAGACCAGGGAAAAUGACCGAUACCAUUCCUUCUCAGGGAUGCUACACACCCAUGGGGCAGAGGAUAAGAGGUUCCUGAAGGCAUCACCCCUCUGGCCAUGGCUGGUGUGCAGACAAAGCUGGAGAUUUGGAGUAGCCUGUUGUCCCACUGACUCUUAGACUGCCCCAGCUAAGAAGAACCAACUCCUCCUAUUACAGAUGAAAUAAACAAAGCUACUCAAGCUCUCUGGCAUCGCCCUGACGGUCAUCAUGUGCUUCACAUUUCCCUCCUGCCCCCCCUGAUUUUCUGGAAAAGGGAGAAAGUGUGUGAAAAAAAAUGGACAAUAACUUCUGUUAACUUUGUAGAUGUCUGGUUCCUCCAUAUGAGGCUGUGCUUGAAUCAAUUUUGGAGAGAGGGUUUCUAAAGUCUCUCUAGAUUCUAUUAAUUUUGAUAGAGACAAUAAAAGGCAGCAGGACCAACUCUGUGUGGUGGGAGAUCUAGCAACCAUUAUAGUCACAAUAGCCACCACUUACUGAACACCCACCAUGUGACAAAGAACAAAUGUGCAUGAAUUAUGUCACAUUUUUCACAAGCACCCCUUGAGUUGGGAGUUCACUCAUGAGGCAACUGAGGUUCAGGGAGAUGAAGUAACUCACCCUGUAGGUAGGAGGGCUGAGAUCUGGACGUAGAUCUUUCCUCCAAAGCUUUGUCUUUUUUUUUCUACUAUAGCACACCAAAGAGAGUUCUAGAAAAAAUGAGAAUAAGAAAUUUACCUGUAAUCCUUGCUCAAGAAACUGAAGCUCUGAGGCCACAUUGUUCCAGCCUUUUGCAGCUCCUGCAUGUGGAUACCAGCACCAGCAGCUCCCCGACCAGGGGCCCCAGCUAAGCCCUCCCAGAGGAUGAUCUUGGCUUUGUACAUGGGGUGUCAAUAUCCUGUGAGUCCAACAGAGGGAAGACAUAAGAAUAUGGUCACCCAGGUUUUGUACAGAGGAAAUCCAGGCUCCUAACGAUGGCGAAAGAUGGGAAUAAAAGGAUCAGAACACUGAGCUGGAUCUUCAGUUCAUUUCAGGUAUGGAGAAGGGUAAAUGGUCUUUAAAGAAGGCCGACCUCAAUGAAGGUGUCUUCCAAGGCCUUGUCCACUCAAGGACAUGUUGCAUGCCUGAAACUGAGUAUACAGGAAAAGGAUAGAAAUGGAAUAAAAUGGAAACCCAUAAAUCACACUACCCUGCUAUGCAGUUUCAAACCACUGACUUAAUGAAAUGUUGAUCCACUUUGCCAUGGAUGCCCCACUUUUUAACUCCUUCUUCAGAGUCCCAGGAGGUGAGGCUCUUCUGUUUAACUGAUUUGCAGAAUUUUUGCUUCUGCUAUUACAAUGGCUUCCAUAGUUGAGUACCAAAGACACUUUACUAUGGUGCCACAGAGAUCAUUUUGCAGAUGAGGAAACAGACUGUUCUACUACCCAGGCUUUGGUUUUUUCUACUCAGUCUUGCACAAUCUCUCACUCUCAGCCCAGAACAUUGCUGCAUUUUUGUGAGCCAUCAGCAUCCAAAGUGAACACAGGGUCUAAAUAACUGAAGAUGGCAUGAGGGAACACACAAUCAGGUCUUUAAAAAAAGAAGAAAGUGAAUAGGCAAACUGAACAGGACAUCUAGGACUGAAAAGCCUCUGUGAACAACUGGACUCAAUAUGAAAUUGGCGUGAGCUCACAGAAGACCAGCUGAGUUCCAGAUGUGGUUGGGUAGCUUGGGUUAUGGGCCCGUAUAAAAAAAAUGGUCUCUUCUUGUAAAAGGAAUUCAAAAAAAGACUAAAAGUCA